rnacentral:rRNA from 1 species
UACAGAGGUCUCGAGCGUUAGGCGGAAUCACUGGGCUUAAAGCGUGUGUAGGUGGAUGCCUAAGUACCUUGUGAAAUCCCACGGCUCAACCGUGGAACUGCUGGGUAUACUGGCGGUCUUGGGCCACUCAGGGGUUGCCGGAACAAGCGGUGGAGCGGUGAAAUGCGUAGAUAUCGCUUGGAACGCCAAAGGUGAAGACAGGCAACUGGGAGUGCGC